rnacentral:rRNA from 1 species
GGUGAACGCUGGCGGCGUGCCUAAGACAUGCAAGUCGAGCGGGCCGCGGGGUUUUACUCCGUGGUCAGCGGCGGACGGGUGGGUAACGCGUGGGUGACCUACCCGGAAGAGGGGGACAACCCGGGGAAACUCGGGCUAAUCCCCCAUGUGGACCCGCCCCGUGGGGGGUGUCCAAAGGGCUUUGCCCGCUUCCGGAUGGGCACGCGUCCCAUCAGCUAGUGGUUGGGGUAAUGGCCCACCAGGGCGACGACGGGUAGCCGGCCUGAGGGGGUGGCCGGCGACAGGGGAACUGAAACACGGCCCCAAGUCCCACGGGAGGAAGCAGUUAGGAAUCCUCCGCAAUGGGCGCAAGCCGGCCGGAGCGACGCCGCUGGGAGGAAGAAGCCCUGCGGGGUGUAAACUCCUGAACCCGGGACGAAACCCCCGACGAGGGGACUGACGGUACCGGAGUAAUAGCGCCGGCCAACUCCGUG